UUUGUUACUUCAAACCAAUCGGACUUCGGUCUGACAUCAAGUGAUAUUGAACAAUUUAGCUGAUCGCACGGUCUAAGAACCGGCGACAUAUCCUUCAAAUGUCUGCCUUAUCAACUUUCGAUGGUAGAUUAUGCGCCUACCAUGGUUGUAACGGGUAACGGAGAAUCAGGGUUUGAUUCCGGAGAGGGAGCCUGAGAAACGGCUACCACAUCCAAGGAAGGCAGCAGGCACGCAAAUUACCCACUCCCGGCACGGGGAGGUAGUGACGAAAAAUAACAAGCUGGUCUCAAUGAGUUCCAGCAUUGUAAUGGGAACAAUUUAAAUCUUUUAUCGAGGAUCUAUUGGAGGGCAAGUCUGGUGCCAGCAGCCGCGGUAAUUCCAGCUCCAAUAGCGUAUAUUAAAGUUGUUGCGGUUAAAAAGCUCGUAGUUGGAUCUAGGAUUAGGGCUACGGUCGUUCAGCUUGGACGUACUGUAUGCCCGACUCCUUUUCUCUAGUAUUCGAUUGUUGCUCUUAAAUGAGUGACUUUAGUUGCUGGAACUUUUACCUUGAAAAAAUUGAAGUGCUCAAAGCAGUUA
rnacentral:rRNA from 1 species